AACGAACGCUGGCGGCAUGCCUAACGCAUGCGAGUCGAACGAGACCGUCGGGUCUAGUGGCGCACGGGUGCGUAACGCGGGGGAACCUGCCCUUAGGUUCGGAAUAACGCCCCGAAAGGGGUGCUAAUACCGGAUAAUGUCUUCGGACCAAAGAUUGAUCGCCUUUGGAUGGGCCCGCGUUGGAUUAGCUAGUUGGUAGGGUAAAAGCCUACCAAGGCGACGAUCCAUAGCUGGUCUGAGAGGAUGCUCCGCCACACUGGGACUGAGACACGGCCCAGACUCCUACGGGAGGCAGCGGUGGGGAAUAUUGGACAAUGGGCGAGAGCCUGAUCCAGCUAUGCCGCGUGAGUUAUGAAGGCCUUAGGGUUGUCAAGCUCUUUUACCCGGGAUGAUAAUGACAGUACCGGGAGAAUAAGCCCCGGCUAACUCCGUG
rnacentral:rRNA from 1 species